AUUGAACGCUGGCGGCAUGCUUUACACAUGCAAGUCGAACGGCAGCACGGGUGCUUGCACCUGGUGGCGAGUGGCGGACGGGUGAGUAAUACAUCGGAACGUGUCCAGAAGAGGGGGAUAACGCAUCGAAAGAUGUGCUAAUACCGCAUAUGCUCUGAGGAGGAAAGUAGGGGAUCGAAAGACCUUACGCUUUUGGAGCGGCCGAUGUCUGAUUAGCUAGUUGGUGGGGUAAGGGCCUACCAAGGCGACGAUCAGUAGUUGGUCUGAGAGGACGACCAGCCACACUGGGACUGAGACACGGCCCAGACUCCUACGGGAGGCAGCAGUGGGGAAUUUUGGACAAUGGGCGCAAGCCUGAUCCAGCAAUGCCGCGUGAGUGGAGAAGG
rnacentral:rRNA from 1 species